CCUACGGGGGGCAGCAGUGGGGGAUCUUGCACAAUGGGGGAAACCCUGAUGCAGCGACGCCGCGUGUGGGAAGACGGUCCUCUGGAUUGUAAACCACUGUCCCCAGGGACGAAGAUGACGGUACCUGGGGAGGAAGCUCCGGCCAACUACGUGCCAGCAGCCGCGGUAAUACGUAGGGAGCGAGCGUUGUCCGGAAUUACUGGGUGUAAAGGGAGCGUAGGCGGGACUGCAAGUUGGGUGUCAAAUCUACCGGCUCAACCGGUGGCCGUACGCAAAACUGCAGUUCUUGAGUGAAGUAGAGGCAGGCGGAAUUUCUAGUGUAGGGGUGAAAUGCGUAGAUAUUAGAAGGAACACCAGUGGCGAAGGCGGGCUGCUGGGCUGGUUCUGACGUUGAGGCCCGAAGGCGUGGGGAGCAAACAGGAUUAGAUACCCUAGUAGUC
rnacentral:rRNA from 1 species